rnacentral:rRNA from 1 species
GAUGAACGCUAGCGGCAGGCCUAAUACAUACAAGUCGAGGGGCAGCAGGAAUAGCAAUAUUUGCUGGCGACCGGCGCACGGGUGCGUAACACGUAUACAAUCUGCCUUCUACUGGGGGAUAGCCUUUCGAAAGAGAGAUUAAUACCCCAUAAUAAAUUGAAUAGCAUUAUUUGAUUUUGAAAGAUCCGUCGGUAGAAGAUGAGUAUGCGUCUGAUUAGCUAGUUGGUGAGGUAAUGGCUCACCAAGGCUACGAUCAGUAGGGGAUCUGAGAGGACUACCCCCCACACUGGUACUGAGACACGGACCAGACUCCUACGGGAGGCAGCAGUAAGGAAUAUUGGACAAUGGAGGCAACUCUGAUCCAGCCAUGCCGCGUGCAGGAUGAAGGCCCUAUGGGUCGUAAACUGCUUUUGUACGAGAGAAAACCUAUUUACGUGUAGAUAGUUGAUAGUAUCGUAAGAAUAAGGAUCGGCUAACUUCGUGCCAGCAGCC